UCUAUGGCUAAUACAUGCGCAAAUGCCUCCUUCUCUGGAGGGGCUGUGUUUAUUAGAUACAAAACCAACCCACUUUUGUGGAGUCCUGGUGAUUCAUAGUAACCAAACGGAUCGCAUUUGGCUUCGGCCCGCGAUGGAUCUUUCAAGUUUCUGACCUAUCAGCUUUCGACGGUAGGGUAUUGGCCUACCGUGGCAGUGACGGGUAACGGGGAAUUAGGGUUCGAUUCCGGAGAGGGAGCCUGAGAAACGGCUACCACAUCUAAGGAAGGCAGCAGGCGCGCAAAUUACCCAAUGAAAACAGUUUCGAGGUAGUGACGAGAAAUAACAAUACAGGGCAUUUUAUGCUCUGUAAUUGGAAUGAUGGGAAUGUAAAACCCUUCCAGAGUAACAAUUGGAGGGCAAGUCUGGUGCCAGCAGCCGCGGUAAUUCCAGCUCCAAUAGUGUAUAUAGAGUUGUUGCAGUUAAAAAGCUCGUAGUUGGAUUUCUGCUGUGGUCAUCCGGUACCGCCCGUAUGGGUGCGCACCUGGUUUGGCUCCGGCUUUCUUCCUGUAGCUGUCCGCGCUUAAUUGCGUGUACUGUGUUACGGAACUUUUACUUUGAGAAAAAUAGAGUGUUUCAAGCAGGCUUGUCGCCCUGAAUACUUCAGCAUGGAAUAAUAGGAUAGGACCUUGGUUCUAUUUUGUUGGUUUCUAGGACCAAGGUAAUGAUUAAUAGGGACAGUUGGGGGCAUUCGUAUUUAACUGUCAGAGGUGAAAUUCUUAGAUAUGUUAAAGACGAACUACUGCGAAAGCAUUUGCCAAGGAUGUUUUCAUUAAUCAAGAACGACAGUAGGGGGUUUGAAGACGAUUAGAUACCGUCGUAAUCUCUACCAUAAACUAUGCCGACUAGAGAUAGGGAAAUGCCUACCUUGGCUUCUCCUGCACCUCAUGAGAAAUCAAAGUCUCUGGGUUCUGGGGGGAGUAUGGUCGCAAGGCUGAAACUUAAAGGAAUUGACGGAAGGGCACCACCAGGCGUGGAGCCUGCGGCUUAAUUUGACUCAACACGGGGAAACUCA
rnacentral:rRNA from 1 species